UAUGUUAACAUACACCUUGUUUGCAGAGAAUUUUUAAUGUCUCGCAUUGAUCUUUUGUUCAGAGAAAAAGGACAAGGAAGCUUCUUAAUGACAGAACUACAAGCCUAGAUCAUUUAGAGUGCCAUUCAGGAGACCUGGGUGUGUUUGAAGACUUAAAGAGCCUGUGGAGAUGGAGAGAUGGAAGACAUUACAGAGUGAGAGGAAAAGAUUGGGAAGCAAGACACUUCAGAAGUUAAAAAAGGUUCAGAGAACACAUUUCAACUUCCAGAAGCUGAAGAAACUCAAGAGAGACAUAAUGAGACUUGAAAAAUUUCAGAGAAGAACAAGUGAAAUGACCAAAGAGAUGCAAGGUUUUUCAUUUGGGAGAGAUUAAAAAAGGAAGUGAGAGAGAUGAUCAAAUUUCACAAAAUCAUGCAGGGUAUGAAUAAGUUGAACAGAGACCUGUUUAACAAAUCUUAGAAACACUGGAUAUGAUGGGGUGGGGAGGGAACACCUUGACGAUUGACAGUGUCUAUCUGCCAGUGGGCAGGUAAAUGGGAAACCUUUUAUUCCAGGAAAUGGCAAAAGCUACCUGUAAGUGGGAUUCUGAAGGAUUCAGAUACAUUUAUGGAUGGUAGAUCUAUGACUAAAUUUUAAGAUA